AGAAUCUCUGGUAUGGCUGCUAUGCCUGCCAUGCCAGGCUGCUUUGGCUGCUAUGCCCGAACUGGUGCGUUGACUGAUGGACAUUAUGAACUGCAUCGACAAGCCUGUCCCAGAUCUUCAGGCCUACUGGAUAAGCAACAUCACCAGCACCUGGAGAAACGUUUGGCAGAUACUGGUCAUUAGACUCACCAAGGCAUGGUGACACAGAAUUGGUAUAUGGAGAGCUAAGGUCAGAGAAGGUCACCAAGGAGAUAUCUGAUGCCUCCUCUUCCCAACAUGCAAUCCUGACAGACAAAGAUUUCUGUUCCACUCCACCUGACGAUCUGUUACCAUGCUACCACCAUCCAAAACACACACUAUGAUGCGUUCAUGUGGAGAAAAGAUAUUGUUCUGAAGGAAGAAGAAAGGAGGACCAUGUUAACCACAUCCAAUCUCACAUUUAGUCUGGUUUAUCAGGCUAGGACCAUGUAACUUAAAAUGAUUAAGUUACACAGAGGACAAAGUUACACAGAGCUCUGAACUAA